CCUACGGGCGGCUGCAGUGGGGAAUAUUGGACAAUGGGGGGAACCCUGAUCCAGCCAUGCCGCGUGUGUGAAGAAGGCCCUCGGGUUGUAAAGCACUUUCAGUGAGGAAGAACGCCUGGUGGUUAAUACCCAUCAGGAAAGACAUCACUCACAGAAGAAGCACCGGCUAACUCCGUGCCAGCAGCCGCGGUAAUACGGAGGGUGCGAGCGUUAAUCGGAAUUACUGGGCGUAAAGCGCGCGUAGGUGGCUUGAUAAGCCGGUUGUGAAAGCCCCGGGCUCAACCUGGGAACGGCAUCCGGAACUGUCAAGCUAGAGUGCAGGAGAGGAAGGUAGAAUUCCCGGUGUAGCGGUGAAAUGCGUAGAGAUCGGGAGGAAUACCAGUGGCGAAGGCGGCCUUCUGGACUGACACUGACACUGAGGUGCGAAAGCGUGGGUAGCAAACAGGAUUAGAUAUCCGAGUAGUC
rnacentral:rRNA from 1 species